rnacentral:rRNA from 1 species
GAUGAACGCUGGCGGCGUGCUUAACACAUGCAAGUCGAACGGAAAGGCCACAGCUUGCUGUGGUGCUCGAGUGGCGAACGGGUGAGUAACACGUGGGUGAUCUGCCCUGUACUUCGGGAUAAGCUUGGGAAACUGGGUCUAAUACCGGAUAGGAAUCACAUGUGGGUGUGUGGUUGGAAAGCUUUUGCGGUAUGGGAUGAGCUCGCGGCCUAUCAGCUUGUUGGUGGGGUAAUGGCCUACCAAGGCGUCGACGGGUAGCCGGCCUGAGAGGGUGUACGGCCACAUUGGGACUGAGAUACGGCCCAGACUCCUACGGGAGGCAGCAGUGGGGAAUAUUGCACAAUGGGCGCAAGCCUGAUGCAGCGACGCCGCGUGGGGGAUGACGGCCUUCGGGUUGUAAACUCCUUUCGUCAGGGACGAAGCGAAAGUGACGGUACCUGGAGAAGAAGCACCGGCUAACUACGUG